rnacentral:lncRNA from 1 species
AAUAUUGAAAGUGCGUGAAAUUUGAUUUCUAGGUAGUUUAAAUGGUUUAGAUCAUAUUUAACGGAGCCGAUCGUCAAUUUGGAAGCUCUAUCAUCGAAAAUAACUCAAUAGUAAAACGCCCCGUUUACUAUCGAGAGUAUUCUAGUUCAACUCUAUAUAUAUAUAUAUAUAUAUAUAAAAGACAAUUGCUUAUAUAUUUUAAAAAAGUUAUAGA